GGGGCAUUGCACCGGUCUGAGCGAACACGCCACGGCCGCCGCGGGCAGUGCACCGGUUGGGAGCUUUUCCGGACACUGCGAUCGGUGUCGCCGCGAGCGACAGAGCGGCGAGCGGUGCGAAAAAACCGCCACGCAGGCUGUCAGCUCCGCGGGGAGAAGCUCUCGGACCGCGCUGGUGGUGUGGGCACUCGCCCUUCCACACAAGCCCGGCAGGACUGCCACUGCGGGGACAGGCACCGAUUUCUGUCCGGCGCUGUGCCCGUGGAUGCGAACGGGACCUUCCAAACACCCGGAAGACUGUUUGCGGAGUCGGGAACCGUUGCUGCAGUGUGUUUUCUGAAGAACGGCGGUGGCAGUCUGUUGCAGAGCCAUUCAUGGAUUUUGUGGAUCGAGUGAGAGCUUCAGUCGAGAAAAGGGUGCAGAAUCCAGAGCUCCAAGAUCAGCUCACACUAGAAAUUGCCACCACAAAUGCAAAUGAAGCCUGUCAGCGAGUCAUCCUGGCCCUUCCAGCAUCGCCUCCACCCACACUCGAUCAGCUCAUUGAGGAGUGCACGAGAAAAGCUACACUAAUGACAGAGGACUCAGUGAUAAGUCCGCGGGAAAGGGUGGUUGCUUCAGCAGCAGCAACCCCGAGGACUCCGGGGUCUGCAGGGCCUCCUCCUUCGCAAAGGGGGAAAGUAGGAGCAGGGGGAAUCUUUUUCCUUUAUACUGGCAGAGCAAAUUGUACCUUUUUCAGAGUUAGUUUACCUUGUUAUAUGAUUUUAUCUUUCUUUCAGACUAGCAGAAUGUCAAUUUCCACAUUCCUGCUCAUCAUUUGGUUCCAGACAAUGGCCAUCUACCCGUGCACGGUGGACGCGUGGAUUGUUCCACAGCCCAAGAAAAAUGUGUGGGUCACACUCGCCCAAGCCUUGAAACAAGAUCACAUGUGUUUGUCUACUGCCUCAGCAGAAAAUCCAAUGUCCACAUGUUUAGUAGGGGUUCCAAGUAAGGGGGAUGAGUUUCCAAUCGGUCUGGUCCGCUUGCAAAAGCAGGUGAACGAAAAUAAAAUACCUGGAGUAGGGAAAAUACCAGUGCAAAACCCCCUCAUUUUGUGGCAAAAGUGGAUCCUAGACUUGCCCUCUGCUGAGGGAGAGCCCCAGGAAUUAGAACUCCUGGGCUCUGCAAAAGCUGAAUAUUGCAUUCAAUUUGAUUUUUCCCCAACCAAAGAAGUAAAAUUAUAUGAGCAAGUCAAACAGUACAAGGUGGAAUUCAGGGCGAGUCAAUGGUGCACAGCUGUCUAUAAGCUGAAAUCUGCAUCCACCACUGAUUUCCGUCCCCGCAAGCUGGACAAGGGAGUGUUUCUUAUCUGUGGGGACAGAGCAUACCCUGGAAUCCCCUCUCGUCUUAUUGGAGGUCCAUGCACUUUCGGGCGUCUGACCCUUGCUUCCCCCAACAUGACCCAAAUUCCAAUCGGGCGAGCAAAAGGUGAGACAAAAAUUGCUAAGCGAAGUGCAAGUCAAUUUGAUGAACAUUGUGAUGCAGAAAUUUACCAUUGGGCAAAAUCCAAAAGAGUUGCCGUCUCUGUGUUUUUACCAUGGGUUGCGGCAGCAAAAGCAUUGAGUGAAUUAGGCAAUCUGGAAUGCUGGGUGACGAAGCAGGCAAAUUUAACAUCAACAGCCCUGAGUAACCUCCUAGAAGACGAGGAAAUAACCAGAAAGGCUACCCUCCAAAAUCGGGCAGCUAUUGAUUUCCUGCUGUUGGCACAUGGUCAUGGAUAUAAAGAGUUUGAUGGGCUGUGUUGUUUUGAUCUGUCAUCUAAAGGCCAGAGUGUCCACUCGUCCAUUCAGGAAAUGAGAAGCCUCAUUGGGAGUGUGAAGCAAGAAAAUGAAGAUUGGUUUAAAAAUCUGUUCAAAGACUGGGACCUUUCUGGGUGGGCAGUGUCUCUUUUAAAAGACAUCUUUUACUUUCUAGUUGCACUGUUUUUAGUUUUGUUAGCAUUUGGGAUUCUUAAGCGAAUAAUCUCCAAGGUCAUCACCUCGAAGCCUAAGGCUUCCGCACCUGUUCUCAUCGCUGCUGCCGUCACGGAGAGCGAUUGGUGGGAAGACGACAAGCAGAAAGACACUGCAGUUUAAAAGCCGCAGUUUUACCUUCUCCCAAGGCACCGUUCAUCUUAUUAAGUAAAAAAGAGGGAGAUGUUGCUAUCACGCUAGCGUGGUAGCGUGGAGGAAGGGAUUUAGAAAGGCCUUGGGAAUUGGAAGCUGAGGAAAAGAUACAUUUAGGUAUGAGGGAAAGAUACAUUUAUGUAUGCCCCUUUGUUUCGGGAAAGCUUCGCUUCAGCACCUUUCUGUAAGCCCCCUUCUCCCCACCCCUGAGCAGUUCCCAUUGGACCUGACCCCUGGGGUGGUUCUGAUGAGCCCAUGCUGAACACUGUCUUUAUUGUUUAGACCUUAUCUCUUAAUUUUGCUGUAUAAAACUGUAUCUGGGCAAUAGCCCAGGGUCUUUUGUCCCUGCAACUGUUCAGGCAAUACAAUCUUUCUGGACU
ensembl:lncRNA